GAGCAGGCGAAGCGGAAUAUCCUCGGAUUGAAUGCUGCGCGUCUUUUCAAUCUGGACCCGACGCCGGUGAAAAAUAUCAUCUAAGGGGCGAUCCUGCGCGACAGAUAACUAAACAAGAAAACAUAAAAUACNNNNNNNNAUAAUGCGAAGCGUUUUUGCUGCGGCCAUAGCCGUUCUGCUUCUUGUCUCAAGCGAGGCGA
rnacentral:misc_RNA from 1 species